GACGAACGCUGGCGGCGUGCUUAACACAUGCAAGUCGAACGGAGUGGCGAACGGGUGAGUAACAAGUGGGUGACCUGCCCUGCAAUUCGGGAUCAGCCUGGGAAACUGGGUCUAAUACCGGAUAGUGUGGGAUGGGCCCGCGGCCUAUCAGCUUGUUGGAGGGGUAAUGGCAUACCAAGGCGUCGACGGGUAGCCGGCCUGAGAGGGUGGACGGCCACAUUGGGACUGUGACACUGCGCAGACUCCUACGGUAGGCAGCAGUGUGGGAUAUUGCACAAUGGGCGGAAGCCUGAUGCAGCGACGCCGCGUGGGGGAUGACGGCCUUCGGGUUGUAAACUCCUUUCACCAUCGACGCGGUAGAUGGAGAAGAAGCACCGGCUAACUACGUGCCAGCCGCCGCGGUAAUUC
rnacentral:rRNA from 1 species